rnacentral:lncRNA from 1 species
UUAGUAAGUUUUACAAUUACAACUAUUACAUUGGAUUAAUUUUCAAUCAUAUUGAUAAUUAAAUCCUAUUAUGAUUAAUAAUUACAAAUCAACCAUUCGAUCAGUCAAAAAUCUUUUUUAUGUAUGACCCCCAUAGGUUCUAUUAUGUCUGAUAGUGAGAUAUAUUAUGAUCCCUAUCACAAUAUUAUCGAAACUCUUUUCAAUGUGUUAGAACUAUUUCAACUCUACCCAUCAA